UNUUUAAAGUUAUUAAGCAGGGCAGCCA
rnacentral:piRNA from 1 species